AGUUGGAAACGACUGUUAAUACCGCAUAAUAUCUGCGGAUUAAAGGUGGCCUUUGUGCUGCCGCAGAUGGAUGAGCCUGCGUUAGAUUAGCUUGUUGGUGGGGUAAGGGCCUACCAAGGCUACGAUCUAUAGCUGAUUUGAGAGGAUGAUCAGCCACAUUGGGACUGAGACACGGCCCAAACUCCUACGGGAGGCAGCAGUGGGGAAUAUUGGACAAUGGGCGAAAGCCUGAUCCAGCAAUGCCAUGUGUGUGAAGAAGGCUCUAGGGUUGUAAAGCACUUUAGUUGGGGAGGAAAGCUUAUGAGUUAAUAGCUCAUGAGAAGGACGUUACCCAAAGAAUAAGGACCGGCUAACUCCGUGCCAGCAGCCGCGGUAAUACGGGGGGUCCGAGCGUUAAUCGGAAUUACUGGGCGUAAAGGGUCUGUAGGUGGUUUGUUAAGUCAGAUGUGAAAGCCCAGGGCUCAACCUUGGAACUGCAUUUGAUACUGGCAAACUAGAGUAUAGUAGAGGAAUGGGGAAUUUCUGGUGUAGCGGUGAAAUGCGUAGAGAUCAGAAGGAACACCAAUGGCGAAGGCAACAUUCUGGACUAAUACUGACACUGAGGGACGAAAGCGUGGGGAUCAAACAGGAUUAGAUACCCUGGUAGUCCACGCUGUAAACGAUGAGUACUAGCUGUUGGAGUCGGUGUAAAGGCUCUAGUGGCGUAGCUAACGCGUUAAGUACUCCGCCUGGGGACUACGGCCGCAAGGCUAAAACUCAAAGGAAUUGACGGGGACCCGCACAAGCGGUGGAGCAUGUGGUUUAAUUCGAUGCAACGCGAAGAACCUUACCUGGUCUUGACAUCCUGCGAACUUUCUAGAGAUAGAUUGGUGCCUUCGGGAACGCAGUGACAGGUGCUGCACGGCUGUCGUCAGCUCGUGUUGUGAAAUGUUGGGUUAAGUCCCGCAAUGAGCGCAACCCCUAUUGAUAGUUACCAUCAUUAAGUUGGGUACUCUAUUGAGACUGCCGCUGACAAGGCGGAGGAAGGUGGGGACGACGUCAAGUCAUCAUGGCCCUUACGACCAGGGCUACACACGUGCUACAAUGGGUAUUACAGAGGGCUGCGAAGGUGCGAGCUGGAGCGAA
rnacentral:rRNA from 1 species